GACGAACGCUGGCGGCGUGCUUAACACAUGCAAGUCGAACGGAAAGGCCCUGCUUGCAGGGUACUCGAGUGGCGAACGGGUGAGUAACACGUGGGUGAUCUGCCCUGCACUUCGGGAUAAGCCUGGGAAACUGGGUCUAAUACCGGACAGGAGCCAUUUUUAGUGUGAUGGUUGGAAAGUUUUUUCGGUGUAGGAUGAGCUCGCGGCCUAUCAGCUUGUUGGUGGGGUAAUGGCCUACCAAGGCGGCGACGGGUAGCCGGCCUGAGAGGGUGGACGGCCACAUUGGGACUGAGAUACGGCCCAGACACCUACGGGAGGCAGCAGUGGGGAAUAUUGCACAAGGGGCGCAAGCCUGAUGCAGCGACGCCGCGUGGGGGAUGACGGCCUUCGGGUUGAAAACUCCUUUCGCUAGGGACGAAGCUUUUUGUGACGGUACCUAGAGAAGAAGCACCGGCUAACUACGUG
rnacentral:rRNA from 1 species